rnacentral:rRNA from 1 species
CAGCUGUAAACGAUGCAGGCUAGGUGUUUGGACGGCCACGUGCCGUUCUAGUGCCGCAGGGAAGCUGUUAAGCCUGCCGCCUGGGGAGUACGAUCGCAAGAUUGAAACUUAAAGGAAUUGGCGGGGGAGCACCACAAGAGGUGAAGCUUGCGGUUUAAUUGGAGUCAACGCCGGAAAUCUCACCGGGAGCGACAGCAGUGUGAAGGCCAGAUUAAAGGUCUUGCCAGACGAGCUGAGAGGAGGUGCAUGGCGUCAGUGACU